CGUAAGGAGUGUAGCAACGUGAGGGUCGCUCCCAGUACGCAGCGGGCACUGUCGGCUGCAGGAGAGCGAUCGGCAAGACGGAAGCGGGCCGAGACCCACCAGGUUUUCAAGGCUGUCAGUAAUAGCAGUACUGGAGCCUACAAAUCAUCUACUAAGAAUGUCUUGGCUAAUGUCCAUUUCUGAAUAGAGAAGUCAGAGAGUAGCCUGCUGAACUUGGGAGAACACAAGAAUUAUUCCUGAAAGAGAUCAGAAUAUAUUUUGGGGAGAAAAAGUGAACAGAUGGAGAACAGACAUGGAGAUGCUACAGAGAUGACAGAGGCUAUUGGGGCAAUCAAGAUACAGAUAAUGGCUUUCGGACUCAGCAAACCCCAGUAGAGGGAGUGUGGCAUCAAUGGGGAGGAGUUCAAAAGCAAGUCUGAGUUGUCUAGGUUUUCUAGCAUCCCCUGUUGAAAGCUAAAGCUCAAAGAGAAGAUACCACUAUCAGCUGAAGUAAGCCAGAUGGCAGCUGUGAGUUCUGGUGGAAAAACAGAGGACAUGGUCAAAAAAGUUCUAAGAUGGAAGAGAGACAUGUUAAAACAGGAUGUGGAUUUGCACCUCACACAACUGAAAAUUUAGACGAAUUAGAGUUAAUGCUUAAAAAGACACUUCAGAAUAAGAAAGUUUCAAUAAUUAUUUUUCAGGUAUCUCGGUUGGAAUGGCUUUCUAACAUAAAAGAUGUUACUACUAAAUAAUCGUUAUUCAAAAAAUUACAAGUAAAAUUAAAAGACAUUCCAAGAAGAAAAUCACCAAUCACCUCAGACAAGAGAGUUGAUGUUUUUUACAUUGAUUUUUAAAAACCCAAGACCUGAGAUUUAAAAAAUGACAAAUUUACUGAAGAAUAAGUGUUAUAUACCUUAGUCCUUGACCAACUGACUUAAUCACUGGGAAAAAUGUACAAUUCCAAAAUAAUAAUCUUUUGUUGACAAGAAGUGAUUUAAAAAACAAACACAUGAUGUAAGAGACCCUAGUUCAUUCAUGGGGUCAUUCCAUUUUCCCAGUCAGGAUAAUCACUUGGAUCAGAGGUGGUUCUAAACAGAGUGUCUGCUCAUUAUUGAGCAAUUUCUCAAAGGCCAUUAGGACCGAAAUAGUAAACAAAGGGUGAUUAAUGGUGUCAUGACUGCUGUCACUAUUGUGACAAUAUAAACAUAGAGCUUUCCUGAAGACUUCACACAUUAAGUUUUCAUUAGGAUAUAUUCUAAAGGGAACAUGUGUCUAUAUGCUUGCAUUAUUCUGUGUAAACUGAGAGACAAUUCUCAGGGUUCGACUUAUUGUAUGGUGAAAGAAAGCACUUUUAAAAAUUUUCCUUUUUAUGUAGUCUUUUCCCCCAAUAACCUGUUAAAACAAAUAUGGAGAGUAACAAAACAUAUGUGUGCAUACUUUUUUAACCUCUCCAUUAACCUCAUUAGAGCUUCUUUUCUGCCUCAACUCCACAAAGCUGUUGUCCUAGCAACAGACCACUAUGUCAGUUUUCUUUAUAUUAUCUAAAUUGCAUAUUGUCUGCUCACCAGCUAUUAUCUCUUACUCUAGUUAUGUCUAGGUUAAUUAACUGUGUUCUUAUUCUCUAAGGAAAUAAAUCUCAAUUACUCUCUUCUUCUGUUGUCUUAGCCAUAAUUUUAAUCUUACAGUAAAAGGGAACUAUAGUUUGGAACUAUAUAUAUUUUUUCAUAAAUCAUGACAACUGAGAUUUACUUUAGACCACAGUAUCUUAGACUGAGGUCAGCAAAUGGUAUUCUUAAGGCCCCCAAACUGCUUCCAACAAAUUCUGCAUCAUCUAGAUCCCCAUCUAAUAAUAAAACACCCAGUCACAUCACUGUCUAAGUCUAUACUGGGAUAUGGUAAUGUGUUUGUGCAAAGCAGAAGCUAAAUCACCGCGCAGUGAAGGUUUCACAGCACUUGAAAUAGACAAGACCUGAGUUCGUUGGAACAUCCGCACCACAUUCUCAUGGCAAAUAGUUGCUUUACGUAAAUGUUUCUAAUACUGACUUACAGAAAUUCAUCAACAGUCAGUGGGCACUAGGUAAGAAAUGAAAAAAUUUACUACUUUCAAUUUUAGCAAUCAAUAAAAUAUGACUUGCCUCAUGUUAUUGCACUUUGCGUUAUUGUGCUUUGCAGAUACUGAGAUUUUUACAAAUUCAAAGUUUGUGGCAAUCCUGUGUCAAGUAAAUGUAUCUAUGAGCACCA